ACUGCCGCUACUGCCCCACAUACACUGCCAGUACUGCCCCACAUACACUGCCAGUACUGCCCCACAUACACUGCUGCUACUGCACCACAAACACUGCUGCUACUGCCCCACAUACACUGCUGCUACUGCCCCACAUACACUGCCGCUACUGCCCCACAUACACUGCUGCUACUGCCCCACAUACACUGCUGCUACUGCCCCACAUACACUGCUGCUACUGCCCCACAUACACUGCUGCUACUGCCCCACAUACACUGCUGCUACUGCCCCACAUACACUGCUGCUACUGCCCCACAUACACUGCCUCUACUGCCCCACAUACACUGCUGCUACUGCCCCACAUACACUGCUGCUACUGCCCCACAUACACUGCUGCUACUGCCCCACAUACACUGCUGCUACUGCCCCACAUACACUGCUGCUACUGCACCACAAACACUGCUGCUACUGCCCCACAUACACUGCUGCUACUGCCCCACAUACACUGCUGCUACUGCCCCACAUACACUGCUGCUACUGCCCCACAUACACUGCUGCUACUGCCCCACAUACACUACCUCUUGUGCCCCACAUACACUGCCGCUACGGCCCCACUUACACUGCCGCUACUGCCCCACAUACACUGCUGCUACUGCCCCACAUACACUGCUGCUACUGCCCCACAUACACUGCUGCUACUGCCCCACAUACACUGCUGCUACUGCCCCACAUACACUGCUGCUACUGCCCCACUUACACUGCCACUACUGCCCCACAUACACUGCUUCUACUGCCCCACAUACACUGCCUCUACUGCCCCACUUAAACUGCCGCUACUGCCCCACAUACACUGCCAGUACUGCCCCACAUACACUGCUGCUACUGCCCCACAUACACUGCUGCUACUGCACCACAAACACUGCUGCUACUGCCCCACAUACACUGCUGCUACUGCCCCACAUACACUGCUGUUACUGCCCCACAUACACUGCUGCUACUGCCCCACAUACACUGCUGCUACUGCCCCACAUACACUGCCUCUACUGCCCCACAUACACUGCCGCUACUGCCCCACAUACACUGCUGCUACUGCCCCACAUACACUGCCUCUACUGCCCCACAUACAAUGCCGCUACUGCCCCACAUACACUGCUGCUACUGCCCCGCAUACACUGCUGCUACUGCCCCACAUACACUGCUGCUACUGCCCCACAUACACUGCCCCACAUACACUGCUGCUACUGCCCCACAUACACUGCUGCUACUGCCCCACAUACACUGCUGCUACUGCCCAACAUACACUGCUGCUACUGCCCCACAUACACUGCUGCUACUGCCCCACAUACACUGCUGCUACUGCCCCACAUACACUGCCCCACAUACACUGCUGCUACUGCCCCACAUACACUGCUGCUACUGCCCCACAUACACUGCCACUACUGCCCCACAUACAAUGCCGCUACUGCCCCACAUACACUGCCGCUACUGCCCCACAUACACUGCUGCUACUGCCCCACAUACACUGCUGCUACUGCCCCACAUACACUGCUGCUACUGCCCCACAUACACUGCUGCUACUGCCCCACAUACACUGCUGCUACUGCCCCACAUACACUGCUGCUACUGCCCCACAUACACUGCCCCACAUACACUGCUGCUACUGCCCCACAUACACUGCUGCUACUGCCCCACAUACACUGCCGCUACUGCCCCACAUACACUAACCCACAUACACUGCUGCUACUGCCCCACAUACACUGCCACUACUGCCCCACAUACACUGCCGCUACUGCCCCACAUACACUGCUGCUACUGCCCCACUUACACUGCCCCACAUACACUGCCGCUAUUGCCCCACAUACACUGCUGCUACUGCCCCACAUACACUGCUGCUACUGCCCCACAUACACUGCUGCUACUGCCCCACAUAAACUGCUGCUACUGCCCCACAUACACUGCCGCUACUGCCCCACAUACACUGCUGCUACUGCCCCACAUACAAUGCUGCUACUGCCCCACUUAAACUGCCGCUACUGCCCCACAUACACUGCCAGUACUGCCCCACAUACACUGCUGCUACUGCCCCACAUACACUGCUGCUACUGCCCCACAUACACUGCUGCUACUGCCCCUCUUAAACUGCCGCUACUGCCCCACAUACACUGCCAGUACUGCCCCACAUACACUGCCAGUACUGCCCCACAUACACUGCUGCUACUGCACCACAAACACUGCUGCUACUGCCCCACAUACACUGCUGCUACUGCCCCACAUACACUGCCGCUACUGCCCCACAUACACUGCUGCUACUGCCCCACAUACACUGCUGCUACUGCCCCACAUACACUGCUGCUACUGCCCCACAUACACUGCUGCUACUGCCCCACAUACACUGCUGCUACUGCCCCACAUACACUGCUGCUACUGCCCCACAUACACUGCUGCUACUGCCCCACAUACACUGCCUCUACUGCCCCACAUACACUGCUGCUACUGCCCCACAUACACUGCUGCUACUGCCCCACAUACACUGCUGCUACUGGCCCACAUACACUGCUGCUACUGCCCCACAUACACUGCUGCUACUGCACCACAAACACUGCUGCUACUGCCCCACAUACACUGCUGCUACUGCCCCACAUACACUGCUGCUACUGCCCCACAUACACUGCUGCUACUGCCCCACAUACACUGCUGCUACUGCCCCACAUACACUACCUCUUGUGCCCCACAUACACUGCCGCUACGGCCCCACUUACACUGCCGCUACUGCCCCACAUACACUGCUGCUACUGCCCCACAUACACUGCUGCUACUGCCCCACAUACACUGCUGCUACUGCCCCACAUACACUGCUGCUACUGCCCCACAUACACUGCUGCUACUGCCCCACUUACACUGCCACUACUGCCCCACAUACACUGCUUCUACUGCCCCACAUACACUGCCUCUACUGCCCCACUUAAACUGCCGCUACUGCCCCACAUACACUGCCAGUACUGCCCCACAUACACUGCUGCUACUGCCCCACAUACACUGCUGCUACUGCACCACAAACACUGCUGCUACUGCCCCACAUACACUGCUGCUACUGCCCCACAUACACUGCUGUUACUGCCCCACAUACACUGCUGCUACUGCCCCACAUACACUGCUGCUACUGCCCCACAUACACUGCCUCUACUGCCCCACAUACACUGCCACUACUGCCCCACAUACACUGCCGCUACUGCCCCACAUACACUGCUGCUACUGCCCCACUUACACUGCCCCACAUACACUGCCGCUAUUGCCCCACAUACACUGCUGCUACUGCCCCACAUACACUGCUGCUACUGCCCCACAUACACUGCUGCUACUGCCCCACAUAAACUGCUGCUACUGCCCCACAUACACUGCCGCUACUGCCCCACAUACACUGCUGCUACUGCCCCACAUACAAUGCUGCUACUGCCCCACUUAAACUGCCGCUACUGCCCCACAUACACUGCCAGUACUGCCCCACAUACACUGCUGCUACUGCCCCACAUACACUGCUGCUACUGCCCC
rnacentral:lncRNA from 1 species